UACGUAGGGGGCGAGCGUUGUCCGGAUUCAUUGGGCGUAAAGAGCUCGUAGGCGGCUUCGUAAGUCAGGUGUGAAACCUCCAGGCUCAACCUGGAGCCGCCACCUGAUACUGCGAUGGCUUGAGUCCAGUAGGGGCGCGCGGAAUUCCUGGUGUAGCGGUGAAAUGCGCAGAUAUCAGGAGGAACACCGGUGGCGAAGGCGGCGCGCUGGGCUGGAACUGACGCUGAUGCGCGAAAGCGUGGGUAGCGAAACAGG
rnacentral:rRNA from 1 species